rnacentral:lncRNA from 1 species
UUUGGAAUCAAGUCUGAUCAUAUCAAUCCCAAUCUGAGUCGAACUGAAUCUAAUUCAAUUAGACUUAUUCUAAAGCUCUUUACUCAAUCAAAUUGAGUAAAUUAGUAAUCUAAUUACUAAUUAAUUCUCCAUAAAUGGUCAAGUCUUAGUCUCAAUGGGGCUUUUCCACAGAGUCCUAGUCCAAAUCGGACUCUUCACCAGAGUCACAAUCCAAUUAGACACUUCAGCCAUC